UACAGAGGGUGCGAGCGUUGUCCGGAAUCACUGGGCGUAAAGGGCGCGUAGGCGGCUUGGUAGCGUGCGGUGAAAGCCCCGGGGCUCAACCCCGGGUCGGCCGUGCGAACUGCUGGGCUGGAGCACUGUAGAGGCAGGUGGAAUUCCGGGGUGUAGCGGUGGAAUGCGUAGAGAUCCGGAAGAACACCGGUGGCGAAGGCGGGUCUGCUGGGCAGUUGCUGCACUGAGGCGC
rnacentral:rRNA from 1 species